rnacentral:tRNA from 5 species
GCGGGUGUGGCGGAAUUGGCAGACGCACCAGACUUAGGAUCUGGCGCCUUCGGGCGUGGGGGUUCGACUCCCUUCACCCGCA